rnacentral:lncRNA from 1 species
UUAGAGUUCACUUCACGCCAAAACACCACAUGAGGGUGAACUCAGCCAACGCCAAGGAACGGCUAUGUUUUCAAAAUAAAAACAUGAUUUAUGCAUACAUGACUUUUUAACAGCCUUGGCGGACUCGGUUGGGAUAGCCCCAAGCCAAGGUAUCCCUGAUAACUGAGUACGGUAAUGACUUUUGGCACGAGCCAAGCUUUUCAAGAAAUCAUAAGCCUCAUUGUUUAUUU